rnacentral:rRNA from 1 species
GCCUGGGAAUUACGAGCCCAAGCUUAAAACCCAAAGGACUUGACGGUGCCCCAUCCUACUAGAGGAGCCUGUUCUAUAAUCGAUUCCCCCCGAUAUACCUCACCGCCUCUUGCAAACAGCCUGUAUACCUCCGUCGCAAGCUUACCAUGUGAACGCACCUAGUGAGCUCAAAGGUCCCACACCCACACGUCAGGUCAAGGUGCAGCCUACGGGACGGCAAGAAAUGGGCUACAAUCUCUACCCUAGAACAAACGAAAGACUACAUGCAACACAGUCAUUGAAGGCGGAUUUAGCAGUAAAAAGGAAACAGAGAGUUCUUUUUAACCAGGCGCUGAGGCGCGUACACACCGCCCGUCACCCUCUUCAAAUACCCCUAACUGUUACUAACACAAUAUAAUACCACAGAAGAGGCAAGUCGUAACACGGUAAGCGUACUGGAAAGUGUGCUUGGAACAACAAAGUGUAACUUAACGAAAGUCCCUUGCUUACACCAAGAACAUGUCCGUGAAACCCGACCACUCUGAGCCCUAAACCCAGCCCUAUCUUCUUAAUGGACCCUCCCCACCCCCUCCCCCCAGCAAAUCAUUUGAUAACCCAGUAGAGGCGAUUAAAAAGUGACUAGGCG